UCUCUGAUUAGUCAUCUCUCUCUCUUCACACUAUCUCUUUCUCUCUCUCUGCAAAAGCAGAGACCAUACUACACCCAUCUCGUCGGAACGACGAGCACCACCAUCAGGACUAAUCAUGGGCCACCGUCGACUGCCGUGAUUCUCUCUCUCAGCCCUCUCUUCACCUCUCUCUCUCUCUCUCUCUCUCUCUCUCUCUCUCUCUCAGCCAUCUCUUCCUUCAAGCCUCUCUUUUUCCCUUUCUCCGUGAAACUCACUGGACCACCACCGCUCUCUACAACAAGCAUUACCGCCACAAACCCGAAGCCUACCUCGUUGCUUGGCUGUAAAACCGUAUACUCAGACCUCAAGCUGCAAUCACGAACCCGGACCUCGAUCUCCAUGGUUCCCGGCAAGUCACCACUAUUUUCCGACCAAGGGUUUGGUGACAAAAACUACUCGGGGAACUCCAACCCAGUUUUCUGGAGAGAGAGCCGGCGGUUUUCGAGCCGUUUUCAGGCCAACUCCGGCCACGGCCGAUGAAACCAAAGAUUCCGACGAUUGCAACGGCAACCAGCCGAAGAGGAAGAAGAAGAGGAGGAUAAAAAAAUUUAAAAAUUAAAAAAAAAACAAGGGCCUUAGGCCCAAAACCCGGUCCAAAAUCCUUGGCCCAAAUCUUUAGCCCAACCAGCCCAUUUACGAAUUGGAUUCGGAAUAUUCAGGAAUAUUCAAAGAAUAUUCCUUGUGUUGAUUUUUCGGAAAUUUCUUGGAAACCCUCCUAGACUAAUAACGACGUCUUGAGUCCGUUUUUGACAUUCAUUUAGUGAAAUUCCGAAAUUUUAACAUAGUUGACCACUGGGGCAUCUCAGCUUACUUUUCGUUGACUUCUUACGAAAAUUGCCCGGGAUCCUCCUUAGCAUAUUUAGACGCGCUGAUUCCGGAUCAACCGUCCGUUUCUCCAAAUUCAAACGUUUUAAUUGAGUUUUACUAAUGUGUUUCAAUAUUAUGCUUAGGUGCGAUUACUAUCGGAGACUUCGGCUGUUCCAGAAUAAACGAAAUAACAUAAAAUUACGAAAUUAUCAUAAAUCUUACAGGAUGCACAGGUACGCAUACUUUUAUGGGAUUUUAAUUACGGUCAUGAUUAAUAUUUUAUUUAUUACCAUUAUGUCAAUGUGAAUUAUCGAUUUACUGUUGUGUGAUCAUAUUUACGUUAUCUACUCAUCGUUGCUGCACCGAUGUUAGUCCUUACUCGAGUCAGGGCCAGUCUUUCACGUGUAUGUGCACAUCGCACCUUACGCUCACUUUGGAUCCAUUGUAGAUGACAUUCCUGAUCUAGAUUGUUAUAGGCAAUUAGGACUUGUAUGUGAUGCACAUAACGCCAGUCUUCACAUGAUUGUAGUACUAAAGCGUAUAUCAUUAUUACACACAAUUAUGUUUAUGUCAAAAUAUCUCUGCAUGAACUCGUGUGCCAGCAUGUGUCGAUGAGCAUUUGAUAUGAUCUGUUUGCUUAUGCAAGAUUAUGCGGUUACAGAUGUGAUGUUUUUACUUACGAAAUAUUGUGCCGUAUUGAAUUUUUGAGCUAUUGCAGGCUACGGUAAGUAUUUUCAUACUAUACGUAGUAUGUAUAUUUGAAAACUAUACUUGUUUUAUGGCGAGGGGUUAUAAUGUUUUCAAAAGGUUUUUAUAAAACUUUAUUUUUAGGCUCACUCACCAUUGUUUUUCACCCCUUCAGGUUUUAGCAGUUGAACUUUCGUAUCGACAAGGAUUCUUGGCAAAUCUGGUAUUGGAGACUACCUUCGAUGGUAUAAUUCUCAAUCCACUCUGUUGUACUUUACUUAUACUCUGAGAGUACGUGUGAAAUGGUCUUAACCUUUUUAAACAUUCCAAACAAGUAUCCAACAUAUGAAAAUGUCACAUCCGCCCCAGUUAAUUUUCCAAACAUAGAUCAUAUAUAUUCAAAAACCACAAACUCGGUAUAUCAUGGUCAACAUUAAUAUUAGUUGCCUCAAUAUCAAAAAUUUCAAACAUAGUUUAUAUUAUAUGGAACCAAUGAUUUGAAAUUAUAUAAGAAUGGCAAUCUCCUAACAAAGAAUAGGGUUAAAAAGUCAGAUAGGAUUUCAACGAGUUUGUUUCUGCUCAUGUGAUUUCCUCAUUCGCCGAUUCUCAUCUUGUAAAGUUUCCAGUUCUUCUUUAUGGGCGGGUGGUGAAGAUGGUAGUGGCUGUAUCAUGGCAGUCCAUACCAUUUUAGCAAUCUUCAUGACCUUCUUCUUGAUGUUAGCAGCUUGAGUAAGGGUGGAGUUUGUGGUUUUACGUUGGGUUUGGAGGUGAUGGCAUGUUGAGGGUGGAGUGUCAUUAGUUGGUGGAGGGUAUGCUUCCAUAACUUUCUAUUGAUUUUGGAGACAAAGUAACCUAGUUAAUUUAACAGAUUUUUAACUAGGCUUAAUGCAUGUGACAUUUUCAAUAAGAUGAGUACUUGUUUGGAAUGUUUAAAAAUGUUGAGACCAAUUUAGAGUGACACUAAAAACUCGGAGAAUUUCAAGUAUUUAAUUCUAAAGAAAAAGACAUCAGAAUUGCCAUUGAGAGAAAUGUGUUUUGAAUUUUGUAACCACUUGAAAAGAAAUCAAGGCUGGGGAGGUAAAUAAGGGGAGACAUUAAGAAUGGAUGCUCUCAAAUAGCAUAAAAAGGACCGUGUAAAUCAUUGUUCAAGGUCCUGCACCAACCACACUUUUGCACUCUAUCGUUCUAACUGUCCAUUCGACACUAGGUUGAAAUUAUAUUUUUUUAUGGUUUCUUCAAUUUCAA